rnacentral:tRNA from 1 species
ACCUGGCUGGCUCAGUCAGUGGAGCAUGCGACUCUUGAUCUCGGGGUUGUGAGUUCGAGCCCUACGUUGGGUG